UAAACAGAAGGAGAAUUGCUGCAUUUGAGGAAAUGUGCAUUUCUGGAUACUAGAUUAGAGAGGGACCUAAAUCCAAUGGUGUCCUUACAAGAAAAGGAGAGGACACAUGGGGAAACACCCUGGGAAGAAGGCCGCGUGACAAUGAAGGCAGCUAGGACAGGGACCAAGGGGUUCUGGCAAGCCCAGCUUUCAACAGCAACAUGGAGCAGAUGACAGUGGAGGAAGGGCCUGAGGCUUUACCUGAAAGGAAGCCCAGGAAAGGUCUAAGUGAUAAAGGAAUCUUUAUGGAUGGGGUCCAUAGUGAUUCAAAGAUUUUCUGAUUGGCAAUUGGUUGUAAGAGUUACUACCUAAAGGCCUGUAAUCAAUAGAAAAAAGUUGUGGAGACUGAGGUUCUUAGUACAUAGAGGAAGUUUCAUAGGUGGCCACUCUUACAGGC
rnacentral:lncRNA from 1 species